rnacentral:misc_RNA from 1 species
CAAGAGAAUCAGCCCAGAACAAAAUACCUCCCCUGUAAAAAGGAAAGCCCAUGCCCAUAACAGAAGCAAUGUCAAGGUCUGAAGCUUUAACGGCAAUUCCUUCUGCAAAGACUCGGCAGGCUUCAUUCACUACCGGGAAGAAUGUCAUCUCCACAAUGUCUUUCUCAGGUAACUUUGCAAACUUGGGGUCAAUGGCAACACCAGAAAUACUUCUUGCCUUCUCGAUGAAUUUCCUUAAUUCGGGAUCUGGGCUAGCUUUGCGCUUAUCGCCGUACAAAUAGAACCCUUUGCGAGUAGUUUCCCCUGCUCUCUUGUCCUCUUGCAGCAGUGGGAUGAGCAUUGAUUUAUAAGUUCGCUCAGGGAAAUUCUCAAUAAAUUGCAUGCCAGUUGCAAUUGCCACACCAAAACCAACCAGAUCACACAACCGGAAUGGACCCAUUGGCAUUCCAAAUUUAGUGAUUGCCCUAUCAAUCUGAUAAGGAUCCACCCCGUGUUCAACUAGCAAAAUGGCAGCUUGUGUAUAGGGGAAAAACAUCCUGUUGACAGCAAAUCCUGUGCAAUUCCCGACCACAACAGGAGUCUUCUUUAUUUUCUUUCCAACAUCUAGUAAAUCCACAAUUACUUGAGGAGACGUUUGGUUCGUACGAACAAUUUCCAAGAGUGGCAUGACAUGAGC